rnacentral:rRNA from 1 species
GACGAACGCUGGCGGCGUGCUUAACACAUGCAAGUCGAGCGAUGAAGCACCUUCGGGUGUGACUUAGCGGCGACAGGGUGCGGAACACGUGAAGAAUCUGCCUUCAACUCUGGGAUAACUGCGGGAAAGCGGGGCUCACACCGGUUAUGAGCAUUGAUCGCAUAAUCGGGGCUGGAGAGUUGUUCGGUUGAAGAUGACUUCGCGGCCUAUCAGAGUGUUGGUGAGGUAAUGGCUCACCAAGACGACGAGGGGGAGCCGGCCUGAGAGGGCGACCGGCCACACUGGGACUGAGACACGGCCCGGACUCCUACGGGAGGCAGCAGUGGCGAAUAUUGGGCAAUGGAGGAAACUCUGACCCAGCGACGCCGCGUGAGGGAUGAAGGCCUUCGGGUUGUAAACCUCUUUCAGUAGGGAAGAAGCGAAAGUGACGGUACCUACAGAAGAAGCACCGGCUAACUAUGUGCCAGCCGCCGCCGUAA